AAAUUUUCUGAAGAAUUAUGACAUUAAUCUAUUAAUGUGUCACAAUACUGAAAAUCAAACCUCCUUUUUUCCUUUUAAAGGCCAGUCAAAUGAAGCAGUGGGAGUGGAAAAGGAACAAGGAAAUCUGUAACCGGUUGUGAUCAAUUAGUUGUAAACACCACUGCACGAGGACCAGCCCAAAGCUGCUACUUAACCAAGUGACUUUCUGAUUGCUCAGCUGUGUUUCAACUGAGAAAAAUGCAUUGAAAUGAAACAUCUCAUUUCCAGUACUGUCCUGAGGCAAAAAGAGACAAUGAUACGUAUCUCCAACUUAGACUGGAUGAAACUAGCCACAUUUCAAAUAAAGAAGUCACAUUGCUUCAGAUGUGCCUAAUCACAAGAAACACUUGCGCCUGGUUCGUGACUGCCCUCAGCAACCCUUCUGGGCAGCAGACGCGGUUUGUCAACGUUCUGCAUUUAUGAGAACAGUUUGCUGUUUACUCAUAUAGCCUCCAGUGGUAUACUGAGUUGAUCACGACCCUCACUCUUUUGGCCUGCAACAGUCUC